rnacentral:rRNA from 1 species
AGUGAACGCUGGCGGUAGGCCUAACACAUGCAAGUCGAACGGCAGCACAGUAAGAGCUUGCUCUUACGGGUGGCGAGUGGCGGACGGGUGAGGAAUACAUCGGAAUCUACUUUUUCGUGGGGGAUAACGUAGGGAAACUUACGCUAAUACCGCAUACGACCUACGGGUGAAAGCAGGGGAUCUUCGGACCUUGCGCGAUUGAAUGAGCCGAUGUCGGAUUAGCUAGUUGGCGGGGUAAAGGCCCACCAAGGCGACGAUCCGUAGCUGGUCUGAGAGGAUGAUCAGCCACACGGGAACUGAGCCACGGUCCAGACUCCUACGGGAGGCAGCAGUGGGGAAUAUUGGACAAUGGGCGCAAGCCUGAUCCAGCCAUACCGCGUGGGUGAAGAAGGCCUUCGGGUUGUAAAGCCCUUUUGUUGGGAAAGAAAAGCAGCAGGUUAAUACCCCGCUGUUCUGACGGUACCCAAAGAAUAAGCACCGGCUAACUUCGUG